UACGUAGGGUGCAAGCGUUGUCCGGAAUUAUUGGGCGUAAAGGGCUCGUAGGCGGUCCAUCACGUCGGGAGUGAAAAGCUGGGGCUUAACCCCAGUCCUGCUUCCGAUACGGGUGGACUAGAGUGCGGUAGGGGAGACUGGAAUUCCGUGGUGUAGCGGUGAAAUGCGCAGAUAUCAGGAGGAACACCGGUGGCGAAGGCGGGUCUCUAGGCCGUAACUGACGCUGAGGAGCGAAAGCGUGGGGAGCGAACAGG
rnacentral:rRNA from 1 species